AUGGACCGUGAAGACAGUGCACCCUCUGCCUCCCCUAGUGUGGCCAUGGGUGCAAGGCUGUUCUUCUGUGUAGCAGUUUGUCUCCUUGAAGUUGGAUCUUUUGAUGCCAAAGUAACCCAGACUCCAGAAUAUCUGGUCAGAGAGAAAGGACAGAAAGCAAAAAUGAGCUGCACCCCUAAAAAAGGACAUACUGCCUUUUACUGGUAUCAACAGAACGAAAAAAGAGAACUUAAACUUUUGAUUAACUUUCGAAAUGAAGAAAUUAUUGAUCAAACAGACUUGGUCAAGAAACGAUUCUUAGCUGAGUGCCGCUCAAACUCACGCUGCAACCUGGAAAUCCAGUCCUCAGAGGCAGGAGACUCAGCACUGUACCUCUGUGCCAGCAGUGAAUACACAGCACUGAAAUGUGCAUUCCCCUCAGUGCACAAACCCCAUUGUGGACAGACCUCAGGAAGCGGGUUAAUACCAGACUCUAGAAGAAAGUAA